UGCCGAAAAUUGUGUUUAAGAAAUUAAGGAUAUACUCAGUUCUUUCAAAAAUAGAUGAAACUAGCUUUCAAAAUCGAAGAACAAUCAUGUUAAGACAUGAAGAGGCAAAUGUAAAAGGAAUAGAUUCAGUUUAAGUAAAGUGCAAACUCUAUCUGUUUCAUGCAUCAUCUAGACAUAGAAGUGUUUCAAAUUCCAAUUUCUAUUAAUUCGAGCUAAUGUCAACCUCUGCCAGAGGAUGGCGUGGAAAAGAUCUUGCCUCCUUGCCACCAUUUUAAAACGAAAUUUGCCUCCGAACGGCAUGACUUUUCACCAUGUCAAUUUUCCACCGCAGCUUGUCGAUGAUGGCAAGUUAUUUUAGGCAACAAACUUUUCUAUGGUUCGAACAGCUUGAAUCCAUCGAAGUUGCAAAAACAUGCGUAAGUUCAAGGAAAAGAAAAUGAGGAUCCCAGUUUAGCCAUUUACUGCACACAUGACUAAAGAUCCAUGGACUUGACUAAUUGACAUUUUUACGAGCUCUUUCUUUCUGACCUAUCUCCUCUUUCAUCUUUUCGAUGAACAACAAUCUAGAUAGCAGCUACCAUUCAAGAAAGAAAAAAUCAGGUAUGAUCCCGAUUCACAUGAAUCAUUAGAUGUGAACGCAACCCACAUCCACAGUUGGAUGCGAUGAACCCCAUAUGAGGCCCAUGUGAUUUAGCAUAAGCAUUGGGUUUGCAUCGAUUCGAAUCAUAUAUUAAAAGGGUAAGAAACAAGACCCUAUUACUCAAAAUAGAAAAGAAAAAUAAGACCUUUCAGAGCAUAUACAUACAGAAAGGACACAAUGACUAAUACAUGAAACUAGUUUCGAACUCUAUCAAGCAAAGUCAAGUAUAUUUAAAUUAACAUCAAUCGUCAGAUUUGUGGUAUCCAAACAAAACAAGUCAUUGCUAAUGAUCCUAAUUCAUAUAGAUACGUGUAUACUGUGAUUCUAAUCCGUCAUCCAGUGCAAGGAUAAAGAAAAAUCUUUGCUUGGGAAUGAGUCAAAGUUUUGUUCACUUCAUGGUAUACUCAUGAAAAACUAAAAUUUGCUUGGCUCUCAUUUUUAAUGAUGAUUACAUGACAGUUUUUANNNNNNNNNNNNNNNNNNNNNNNNNNNNNNNNNNNNNNNNNNNNNNNNNNNNNNNNNNNNNNNNNNNNNNNNNNNNNNNNNNNNNNNNNNNNNNNNNNNNUUUUUCAAAAAUUUGUCACUCACAAUAAACUGUUAUUCUCACAGAUUCAAUGACUGUUAUGCUAGCAAAAUCUUUUUUAUAUAAUCAACAUGUCAUUUUUUAAUUAUGUUAAAUUUUUGUAAUCCUAUAUAUUAAGUAAAUUUAUUUAUUAAAUGAAGGGUAUGCGUUAGAUUCAACCGAAUCCAAUAAUUAAGAAACAUGGCACUCUGUAUGCAUAAAUCAAGUGAAUAGAACAUGUACAUUGAUCUGGCCUUUGAUGAUGUCGUCCGAGUAGCCCUCCGAGAGCAUCGUCUCGAUCAUUGUCUUGCUCUCCUCCUCUCGGCUGCCGUCGGCAUCGCUUCUCUUCCUUCUCGACCUGUGCUCAUCUAUCAUCCCCUGCAAGAUCACAUCGGACCUGUUGGCCACGUCCACCAUCCUCCGCUCUCUACCCUUGAAGUCCACCACCUUCCUCAGCACCGGCAAGAAAUCGCCCGGGUCCGUUCCGCUCAGCUCGAAUUCCUCCUUUAUCAACUCCCUGUACUCCCUCGCCACCUCGGCGUCGCCAGCGUCGACGGCGACCCCAGAGUAGCGCUUCCCAGAGAUCAUCCUCAUGAUGAUGUUGAAGGACAGCUCCUGCAGCCUCGAACUCAUCUCCACCCUCGCAAAACCACCGCCCUGGGAGGAGGAGGCCGCCUCGUAGAGGCUCCUCGUGAGGUGCCUGACCUCCUCCUGCCGGAUGGCGAGGGAGCCGGUGAGGCGGUGCGGCGAAAGGAUCUCCACGGCCGUGAGGCGGCGGAGGUUGCGCCAGUGGGGGCCGUAGGGGGCGCUGCCGAUGGUGGUGUUGCCGUAUCCCAUGAUCUCGCCCGAGAGCGUGCGGGGGCGGUUGGCGAGGGCGAUGUCGUUCCUGGUGAAGCACUCCUCAGCCGCGGACGGGGAGGAUAUGACGACCGCGGGCCGAGAGCCCAAGGAGAGGGAGAGGACAGGGCCAUAGCGGUCGGAGAGGGACUGAAGGGUGCGGUGGACAGGCUCUUUUAUGAGGUGGAGGUGGCCGAUGAUGGGGAGUGAAGGCGGGGCCGGCGGGAGAUUUCUCUUGCUGCUUCUCUGCAAUUUGAAAAGGUAGAGAAGGAAGAGGAGGGAGGUCGCCGAGAGGAUGUACACCCACGUGUCUUCCAUGGACAACAUCUGUUGGAGGCCGCCUUGUGGAGAGAGAGAGAGAGAGAGAGAGAGAUGGAAUGGGUACAGAGACGCAAGGUGUUGCGGGUCUUGAUUUUGGUAUAGGCACCCACCAGCGUGCGCAUAAAAUCAGGGAAAAAAGGAAAAGAUUCUGGUAUGGGUGGAGUUGUUUUCUGGAAGAGCAAAAGAGAUGAGCACAGAAAACUGAUAUCUCCACAGGUUCAUCUUUGUGGCUAGCAAUCAAUUGGGUGCAUUCGUUGAGUUCAAGUGGGGCAUAAAUUGGCCGUGAAACCUUUGACGUUUUCUGCUUUUGUGUUUGGGUCAUAGUCUUAUCACGGGAGCGAAAGGUAUGGCUCCCGCUACCAUCAAAACCCGUGGCUGAUAUUGGAGCUGAGCGUUGAUUGUUUCUCGGGCGCUGUCGUUCAAUAAUUCGCUACCUAAUUCCAAGAAAGAAGUGCCAAGGCUUAUAUUAUACUGUUUAAAUUAUGCCAUUAAAAAAAAUUCAGACUAAGUUUUCCAAUGACAUGUCAUCCACUUUUCUGGAGGUCUGUAGAAUAUUUUGUCAAUUAUAUGAGUUUGGGCCAAAUUUGUAAGUGAAGAAGAAGAUUAUUAAAUUAAUGUUUCGGAUUUGAAUUCGAAUAAUAAUUUGUUAAAUCGAAUUUGUUGAUAAAUUUUUUUUUUUAAAGAUUGGAUGUAACAGUUUUCUUUCUUGGACUUUUUCUAAAGACGUGCAAAGCAAGACAAAAGAAGAAGGGUUUUUUUUUUUUUUUUUGUGACCCAGGGAACCCCCGUACGCCGCUUCGCGACUGGAGUAAACCCUGGAGGGACCCGGCCCACCACCGCUGACCUCGGCCCCUGGGUAAAUCGCGCGUUUGCAUUGAAGCAACGCGGACGCAGAGUCUCGAACUCUUCCCCCUGGCGUGUGGGGUACCAAGCCUUAACCACUACGGCCACCGCGGGCGGUGGUGACAAAAGAAGAAGGGUUAAUACCCUGAAAAAUCCCAAACUGGUACACUUGUGACAAAUUUAUCCAAAACUAUUUUUUUGACCACAAAAAAUCCUAAACUAGUAUACGUUUGACAAAUUUACUCCAAACUGGUACACUUGUGACAAAUUUACCUUUUGUUAGUUUUUAUUAAAUUUUAUUCUCAAAUUAUUAAGUUAAAUGACACGUGAUAGUUAACCAGUAUACCAAUUUAGGACUUUAUGCUCCGUUUGUCACAGUUUACAAUUUUUGUGAUUUUUUUGUGGUAUUAAUCCAAUUUAGCAAAGGGUAUAUUUGUCACAAAUUUACCAUUUUUGGGUUUUUUGCAGUCAAAUAAAUUAAUUUGAGGUAAAUUUGUUAUAAAUGUACCAGUUUAAGGUUUUUUAUAGUCAGUCGGUGUAAAUUUGUCACAAGUAUACCAGUUUGGGGUUCUUCAUGGUCAAAAAAAUAGUUUUGGGUAAAUUUGUCACAAAUGUACCAGUUUGGGGUUUUUCAAGGUAUUAACCCUAAGAAGAAAUAAGAUAUAAAAGAAAAAAAAAAGAAAAGGAAGUUUUUUUCUUCUCCUCCUUUGCAGCUACGAUUUCCCUUGCAAAAGGAAAUAGACCGUGGGGCCUAGAGUCAAAGUUGUUGACUCUGGGCACACCUAUAAUAAUUAAUUAGGAAUUCCCCCUUUGGCGUGAAGCUGCUGCAGCCUUACAAGAGUCACCAAAGUCCUUGCACGUAGAAGAAAGGAAGCAAAUCUCUCUACACAUGGAGCCAAAAAAAGAGCUGGUGGGCCCAGGUCAAAUAUUUGACCUUUGGGCACACGAAUUUCCUUUAUUCUUUUUUUUUUGGUACCCAGGGAACCUUUGCACGCCACUUCGCAGUGGAGAGUAAACCCUGGGGCGCCGAGGGCCCCCACCGCUGACCCCCAAGCGCGGAUAAGUCACGCGUUAUGCAAUGAAGCAUUGCGUCCACGAAGAUUCGAUCUCUCCCCCUCUGCGUUGGGGUAACAGGCUCUCAACCAGCGCGGCCACCACGGGCGUGCAUAAAGUGACUUAAAAACCCUACGAAAGAGAAGAAGCCACGGGCGUCAAGUUGUAGAGAGCCGCAGGCGUUUUUGUUUCAAACUUGAAAGCAUGAUAAUUUUAUGCUGUAAGUUGUUUAUUUAUAAAUAAUUUAAAUUUUUUGUUAAAUUUAGGUGUGGGAAACACUCGAGCAUAUAAAUAAUUAACAAAAUAGUUAUCACACGUAUAUUUCUAUACUUUAUAUAGAGAGAUAAAGAAGAAUAAGUCUCAAUUAUUUAAUUAUCCAUUCCUCACACUUAUUAUUUAAUAUAUAUAUAUAUAUAUAUAUAUAUAUAUAUAUAUAUAUAUAUAUAGACACACAUUCUAGUUUACUAUAUAUAAAUUAUAAUUAUUCUAAGAUAUCUUUCUAACAACAACGGGCAUAAAUAUUAAAUAGAAGUACCGAUUUUAGGACAACUUUUUUAAUAACUUACCCUCUUGUCUUUGUGCCUAUAGUGGGCCUGGUAUUUCCAUCAAUUGUGAUGGCUUUUUUGUCCCUCCAUGUUCAACAAAGCAAGACUUCUUUGAGAUUUUUUUUUUUUUUUGAAUGCUAAGACUUCUUUGAGAGUUAAAAGGGAAGAGAAUGGAAAGAUAAAAAGAUUCCUCAUGUUCUGGAAUAAUUUACAAUUGGACUGCUACCUUGUUGACUCUCUAUCUCACAAUCCUUAAAUUUGUUUAUUUUCUAAUCACCUAUUUGUCAAAUUUACUUUAGGGUCCAAUCAGCACCAACUAGUACAGAACGUAACAUUUUGUCUCACGGGCGACAUUUUCCUCCAUCUCUUGCUCCUUUUCUAUGGAAGUAAAUAUAGAUCGAGUAGUGAUUAGUACUAGUACAUAGGGCAGUAAAGAGUUGGUGGACAAAUCAUUCGAAAAACAAGAUAAAACAGCUAGAGGGACACUCCGUCACCAGAAUUUGCAUCAGAGGAGAGCAUGUUUGAAGAAAACUCAAUCAAUCGUUACCUGUAAUUCCCUUCAAUAGAGUACUAAGAUGCAACAGUUGAACACCAGUGCUAGCAUCCGACUUAAUGAUGAGCUUUCGAUAAAUAAUUCAAUCCCUUAGCUCAUGGUAGAGCGUUGGGAAGUGCCUAGAAUGCCAAAACACCAUCGUCGUCCCUAUCAUUUGCUAAACUCGAAGACCCAUCUGUGGCGAGAGUCUCCGAUCAUUCCCUCCACACUUGCAUGUCCCAGAUCGUCUUUGCCGGAUCCGGCAGUAUUAUAGCUUGAACCUCCCAAAGAGGGGGUUCGACCCAUUGAUUUCGACAGAGGAGGAGCUAGCCUGCUUCAUGUUGAGGGAUGCGAGGGGCGAGCCGUCCCGCUAUAGAAGCUGCAACGUCGGUGGAAAUGGGAGUGCUUUUUGCAGUCCCAUCGUGAGACGCUUUGUUGUUCAUGUCACACGCCAUAGGGCCCAGAUGGCAAACAAUUUUACGCUCUUUCAGGGGCCUUGACUGAUAAAUUACAAGCUUACGGAUAUUAAUAACAUGUAAACUAAACUAAAAUUCAAAUAUGGUUUUAAAAGGAUUUUGAGCUCGGUCUAUGGGCCAACCAUUGGACACCCAAAUUUUUAAACCAACGGACACGAGUGACACGAUACUCAUUACAUGACUUCAAGUAAUACAGAUCAAAUUCGUUCGAGUUAUCAUGUUAAAGGAUCUCCAUACUAUAAUCUUUCAAGAAAUUAACCUUAGUCCAUUAAUUAUUUAGGGAUGCUAAAAUUGUACACUUCUUAAGUUUUUCAUGUCGUAUUUAAACCCAUCAUUUUGCAAUGUUUUGGACCUCUUUUGUCUACCUGUGAAUUCCAUCAAACUCUCAUUUUGGAACGGAUUUCAACAAGGCAUGAUAACUCAGUAUGCCAAGCCAACCAUAUCUGUUACCGGUGCAACAACAAAUGCCCAAAAUAGAGAGAGGGAUGAACAAUGUUGCCAGUAUCUAUAUAAACCAUCAUUUUUCUCCUAAGAGAAAGGCCUAAAGCUGCAUUGGCCUCCUCAGGAUGCUAUUGAUGCUCACGAUCAUUCCUAAAGUUGCACUGGCCUAAAGCUGUAUAGUCGCUCCUAUUUUCAGUCUAUUUGAUUAUUCAAAAACAUUGGAGAUACAUCACCAAAGUAAAUUCAUUAGACAACGACCUUCUUAAAGGUGCGCAAGAACAUUAGCUAUCAUGCAUUUACGCGCUUUGCACAAGGCCUCCAAAGGCUCUCUCUUGGGCAUUGUGAGUCCCGUCCCCUCAGACAAGUCCACCAAUUCUUCGCCAACUCGUUCCCAUUCGAAGCACUGAAUAAGCGCUGCCAGGGCCAAGCUCACCACUCUAUUGGCAAGGCCAGCACCGGGACAACUUCUCCUCCCCAUGCCAAACGGCAAUAGUCGGUAGGCAUGAUCACCUUCCAAUCCAUCGUACCUCUCCGGUUUAAAAUUUGUGGGAUCGUCCCACACUUUUGGGUCUCUCUGAAUUGCCCAUGCAUUAACCAGGAUCAUGGUGCCUCGGGGCACGUCAAACCCACCAAUCGUGCAAUCCUCAGCAGACUCAUGAGGCACUAGGAGUGGCGCCGGUGGAAACAAUCGGAGCGCCUCAUUGAUGAUAUUAUGAAGGCAAGGCAGCUUGUGGGUGUCGGCUUCAUCAACUAGACGGUCUCGGCCAACAAUGUCGUCUAGUUCUACUUGAGCUUUUUUCAUGACGUCCAGGUGGUUGAGCAAGAGGGACAUGGCCCAUUCUAUUGUCACCGCAGAUGUGUCUGUACCCGCACCUAUUAUUGACUGCCGAAAAUUGUGUUUAAGAAAUUAAGGAUAUACUCAGUUCUUUCAAAAAUAGAUGAAACUAGCUUUCAAAAUCGAAGAACAAUCAUGUUAAGAUGUGAAGAGGCAAAUGUAAAAGGAAUAGAUUCAGUUUAAGUAAAGUGCAAACUCUAUCUGUUUCAUGCAUCAUCUAGACAUAGAAGUGUUUCAAAUUCCAAUUUCUAUUAAUUCGAGCUAAUGUCAACCUCUGCCAGAGGAUGGCGUGGAAAAGAUCUUGCCUCCUUGCCACCAUUAUAAAACGAAAUUUGCCUCCGAACGGCAUGACUUUUCACCGUGUCAAUUUUCCACCGCAGCUUGUCGAUGAUGGCAAGUUAUUUUAGACAACAUACUUUUCUAUGGUUCGAACAGCUUGAAUCCAUCGAAGUUGCAAAAACAUGCGUAAGUUCAAGGAAAAGAAAAUGAGGAUCCCAGUUAAGCCAUUUACUGCACACACGACUAAAGAUCCAUGGACUUGACUAAUUGACAUUUUUACGAGCUCUUUCUUUCUGACCUAUCUCCUCUUUCAUCUUUUCAAUGAACAACAAUCUAGAUAGCAGCUACCAUUCAAGAAAGAAAAAAUCAGGUAUGAUCCCGAUUCACAUGAAUCAUUAGAUGUGAACGCAACUCACAUCCACAGUUGGAUGAGAUGAACCCCAGAUGAGGCCCAUGUGAUUUAGCAUAAGCAUUGGGUUCACAUCGAUUCGAAUCAUAAUUUAAAGGGUAAGAAACAAGACCCUAUUACUCAAAAUAAAAAAGAAAAAUAAGACCUUUCAGAGCAUAUACAAUACUGAAGGACACUAUGACUAAUACAUGAAACCGGUUUCGAACUCUAUCAAGCAAAGUCAAGUAUAUUUAAAUUAACAUCAAUUGUCAGAUUUGUGGUAUCCAAACAAAACAAGUCAUUGCUAACAAUCCUAAUUCAUAUAGAUACAUGUAUACUUUGAUUCUAAUCCGUCAUCCAGGUGUAAG
rnacentral:lncRNA from 1 species